rnacentral:lncRNA from 1 species
AGGUGACUUAUAUGGACGAAGGAGAUUUAGAAGCAAUAGUCAGAGGUUACUUAGGCUCCGGAGACGCCUUUUCUGGGGAAAGCUCCGGUGGGUUUUCACCUCCGUUUUGCCUUCCGAUUGAGACGGCUAGUUUCUAUGAACCGGAGAUGGAAACAACCGGUUUAGACGAACUUGGUGAACUCUACAAACCUUUUUACCCUUUCGCCUCACAAACAAUCCUCACAAGCUCCGUCUCUGUCCCCGGAGAUUCAAGAAGUUUCCGAGAUGAUAAAAAACAACGAACACAUGGUUGUCUUCAAUCUAACGGAUCAAGAGUUGAUCAUAUCCGAAUCCCAGUAUCCAAAUCGAAGAAGAGGUCAGUUAUACUUGAAAAUCUACUUUCAAAUGCAAAAAAAAAAAAAACUUGAAUAUUAAUAAAUGUUUUGAACAAAAAAAAAGAAUAUUCAUAUAAAAAAAAACUGAUUUUCAGCUGUCUGGGUUACUAUUAUGAACCAAUUCUUGAAAAUAAUUUUAUUAGAAUUUUAUACAUAUUAAGAAAGCAGUUUAUGUUUGAUCAUAAAUGUAUAAACUUUCUGAACUAAACAAUUUCCUACGACUUUCAAGCAAUAGAAAUUUAAAAAUAUAAUUAUUGUCAAUAAAUAUUUCGAUAUAUAAAAUUUGUUAUGCAAAUUAAUAAUAUAUGCAUAGAAAACUGAGAAUGUAUAAGAAAAAAACAUAAAAUGCUAGAAAAUUCAUCUUUACAAAUGUAGGGUAUAUACUAUAUAUAGUUAUUAUUAUCACCAACUUGUUUUUCAUAAUUAUAAUUAUCAUGAAUAUGCAUGCUCCUUGUUGGAUUAAAUAAUUUAUGAUUCGAAUUUGAACAGCAAGAAGAAUCAACUAAAGAGAGUUGUUGAGCAAGUGAAGGAAGAAAAUCUGUUGUCGGAUGCAUGGGCAUGGCGUAAAUACGGGCAGAAACCCAUCAAAGGAUCUCCAUACCCAAGGUCUUAAAUCAUUUCCGGUUAACAUAAUCCUAUCCUUACUUUUAACCAAAAACCGGUUUGACUUACUUAACCUCUUUUGUUUCUUCAGGAGUUAUUACAGGUGCAGCAGCUCAAAGGGGUGUUUGGCAAGAAAACAAGUCGAAAGAAAUCCUCAGAACCCGGAAAAGUUCACCAUAACGUAUACAAAUGAACACAACCAUGAGUUACCAACCCGGAGAAACUCAUUAGCCGGUUCGACUCGAGCCAAAUCUUCUCAAACCAAACCGGCCGUAACCAAAAAGUCCGUAAAGCAAGUGGUUUCUUCUCCCACAAGUAAC